UCUUACGGAUGAAUAAAGAAAGUGGUUUCUUGAAAUGGAAUCUAUUCCUGGUUAAGAUGCUAUGAA
rnacentral:pre_miRNA from 1 species